rnacentral:rRNA from 1 species
AGUGAACGCUGGCGGUAGGCCUAACACAUGCAAGUCGAACGGCAGCACAGUAAGAACUUGCUCUUACGGGUGGCGAGUGGCGGACGGGUGAGGAAUACAUCGGAAUCUACUUUUUCGUGGGGGAUAACGUAGGGAAACUUACGCUAAUACCGCAUACGACCUACGGGUGAAAGCAGGGGAUCUUCGGACCUUGCGCGAUUGAAUGAGCCGAUGUCGGAUUAGCUAGUUGGCGGGGUAAAGGCCCACCAAGGCGACGAUCCGUAGCUGGUCUGAGAGGAUGAUCAGCCACACUGGAACUGAGACACGGUCCAGACUCCUACGGGAGGCAGCAGUGGGGAAUAUUGGACAAUGGGCGCAAGCCUGAUCCAGCCAUACCGCGUGGGUGAAGAAGGCCUUCGGGUUGUAAAGCCCUUUUGUCGGGAAAGAAAAGCAGCAGGUUAAUACCCCGCUGUUCUGACGGUACCCAAAGAAUAAGCACCGGCUAACUUCGUG